CCUACGGGAGGCAGCAGUGAGGAAUAGUGGGCAAUGGGCGUACGCCUGAACCAGCCAAGGCGCGUGAGGGAAGACGGCCCUAUGGGGUGUAAACCUCUUUUGUCAGGGAGCAAGUGGCGCUACGUGUAGCGUUAUCGAGAGUACCUGAAGAAAAAGCAGCGGCUAACUCAGGGCCAGCAGCCGCGGUAAUACGGAGGAUGCGAGCGUUAGCCGGAUUUAUUGGGUUUAAAGGGUGCGUAGGCGGAAUGCCAAGUCAGCGGUAAAAUCGCGGGGCUCACCCUCGCUCCGCCGUUGAAACUGGCGUUCUUGAGUGGGCGAGAGGUCUGCGGAAUGCGUGGUGUAGCGGUGAAAUGCAUAGAUAUCACGC
rnacentral:rRNA from 1 species